rnacentral:rRNA from 1 species
UACAGAGGGGGCAAGCGUUAUUCGGAAUUAUUGGGCGUAAAGGGCGCGUAGGCGGCCUGGCAAGUGGAAGGUGAAAUCCCUCGGCUUAACCGAGGAACUGCCCUCCAAACUGCUUGGCUUGAGUCCGGGAGAGGUGAGUGGAAUUCCCAGUGUAGCGGUGAAAUGCGUAGAUAUUGGGAGGAACACCAGUGGCGAAGGCGGCUCACUGGACCGGAACUGACGCUGAGGCGCGAAAGCGUGGGGAGGAAACAGG